UUACCUACAGCCACGCAUCGACAUCAGCAGCGGUGGCAACGAAAGCGGCGGUAUCUCCAGUAGCGGGAGCGGGAGC
rnacentral:ribozyme from 1 species